CCUACGGGUGGCUGCAGUGGGGAAUAUUGGACAAUGGGGGGAACCCUGAUCCAGCCAUGCCGCGUGUGUGAAGAAGGCCCUCGGGUUGUAAAGCACUUUCAGUGAGGAAGAACGCCUGGUGGUUAAUACCCAUCAGGAAAGACAUCACUCACAGAAGAAGCACCGGCUAACUCCGUGCCAGCAGCCGCGGUAAUACGGAGGGUGCGAGCGUUAAUCGGAAUUACUGGGCGUAAAGCGCGCGUAGGUGGCUUGAUAAGCCGGUUGUGAAAGCCCCGGGCUCAACCUGGGAACGGCAUCCGGAACUGUCAAGCUAGAGUGCAGGAGAGGAAGGUAGAAUUCCCGGUGUAGCGGUGAAAUGCGUAGAGAUCGGGAGGAAUACCAGUGGCGAAGGCGGCCUUCUGGACUGACACUGACACUGAGGUGCGAAAGCGUGGGUAGCAAACAGGAUUAGAUACCUGGGUAGUC
rnacentral:rRNA from 1 species